GAAUAAAUAUCCCCGAGAGAAUCUCGACUUUUUUUUUUUUAGACUUUGAGACCUUUUUUUUUUUUCCGAUAACAGACCCAAAAUCAUGUACAAACUAUAGCAUAAACACCACAUAAAUACAUCCUUCAACACAUGUAAAGGCAAAAGCCCAAAAGAAGGAAAAGAAAAGGAACUGAAAAAAGAGUCGAGAUUCUCUCGGGGAUA
rnacentral:misc_RNA from 1 species